rnacentral:misc_RNA from 1 species
UACGUAGGUGGCGAGCGUUGUCCGGAUUUAUUGGGUUUAAAGGGUGCGUAGGCGGUCAUGUAAGUCAGUGCUGAAAUAUCCCGGCUUAACCGGGAGGGUGGCAUUGAUACUGUGUGACUUGAGUGAAGUCGAGGUAGGCGGAAUUGACGGUGUAGCGGUGAAAUGCUUAGAUAUCGUCAAGAACACCGAUAGUGAAGACAGCUUACUAGGCUUUAACUGACGCUGAGGCACGAAAGUGUGGGGAUCAAACAGG